UAAAAGGACAUUCCUUGCCAAAGGUGACCAUGGGUUGGGCAGUGUUCUUCCUUGCGCUCCUCACUUACUGCACAGGCAUUGAUGGUCAGUCCGCUUGGACUCAGCCUCCCUCCAGCUCCGUGUCCCUGGGUGGAACCAUCACACUCUCCUGUUCAACAACUCACACUUACUACACAAUUAGCUGGUAUCAACAGAAAGCAGGAGAAGCCCCUCGUUUUGUCCACUGUGAUGGCUGCAGUAGCAGCAGGGGAGAAGGGAUCCCUGAUCGGUUCACUGCCACCAGAUCUGGGACUACAGGAUCUUUGACCAUCACCAAUGCCCAGGCUGAAGACGAGGCAGAUUAUUACUGUGGUAACUGGAACAGGGCAGUUACCGUGUUCCACGGUGGUGAAUUCUUAUGGGGAAGUGUGACAAAAACCUCCUCUCUGCCCCUUCAACCUGAAACAAGAAACAACAAACCUUGA